GCCCAGGUGGCGAAACUGGUAGACGCACUACCUUGAGGUGGUAGCGCUGGAAACGGCGUGCUGGUUCGAAUCCAGUCUUGGGCA
rnacentral:tRNA from 1 species